UAUGGGGAUUACUAGGUCACAGCCUGAAGCAGUGAUUGAGUACCGGGUGAGAAGGCAGGGCUAAUUCAGGGAGCACAGGUGCAAGAAAUGCACUUGGUUAAUUGGAAGGGGCAGACUGAGAGUCCACUCCUCCUCACUCUUAUUUAGCAGCUGAAGGAGUAAGAUUUCCUUUUGGAGACUUCAGUGAUCUUUGGAAAGUGUAAGCUACUUGUCCUUCUGAAGUACGUCUUGACAAAUACCUUUAUGAGCAUGUUUGUAUCCUGGUAGAAGGCAGUAUCAUCACCUUCUAUUGCUCCCCAAGAGAACGUGGAACUUACUUAAGAGAGAGCGUUUCCAGAGUCAGUAAUGCCAAAGGAACUUACGAAUAACUAAGUGACUGAAAUGACCACAGGACGGGUUCUGAAUAGACCAGUAUUGCAUUGUUUUCACAGAAACUGAGGUGUUUCAACACGCAGUGAUAUCUGAAUACAGGAAAAAUGCAUGCUGCUUACCUUUAUGACCUCUUCUUCGAUUAACAUCUGACCGUGUUUGUGGCAAAAUAGUCUAUAGACCAGUGCAGAUAACAGUAACCCUGUGUUCUACACAUGAGCAUGACUGGCCAUUCCUUUGCACCUCUGAUGACAGCUUGUGGAAAACUUUCUUUAAGGAGGAGACACAGUGUCAACAUGUGAAAUUUAAUGACCAGAUUGGAGAUGUAGGAACACUUCCUGUGUCAGACAAAAAGCCUGGAUGCUGUCUCCUCUUCCUCUGUUUUUCACAGUGUAAAACAUAAAGCCUGUGGGCAAGGAGUAAGCCAGGUGCACCUUCAGGUCUUCCACACUGGAUGAUUUCUGCCCUGUAGCCAUGGCCACUGCACUUGUCUGCUGAAGCACGUGGUUCCUUCAGCUCUGCUGACAGCAAGGCAUGCUGAAUCACUGCUCUGAGAGGGAGUAUCGGUCCUCAGCAGAUGUCCUCAACAAAAAGGGAUGCUAACAGAAUCUAAAGUUUUUCCUAGACUGUUU
rnacentral:lncRNA from 1 species